CAGGUUUCAGAUGUUCUUCUACAUGUCAACAAAUCUCGUGUUCAGACUCAAACCAGCAACCCGUCUCUCAACACUGUCUGACUUCCUGUCUGUGGCUCUCAGCUCCACGUCAGCCUUUAAAAUCACCUCACAGGUAUGUGGUUUCAUUUGGAGCUGGGCUGUCCACAUACUUUUGGCCACAUAGUGUAAGAACGAACCUGAGAGGAUGAUGCAGGAAGAGAGAGAGGCGGCCGUUGUGAAACUCACCUCAUGACUUUGCCGCUCAGACGUUUCUCCUUCUGCGAAUCUGAGGACGAGGAACAGAGACGAGGUCAGAGACUCUCUCCACAUGAGGCAGUCAGCUGCUCAGCCUCCACAAAGAUGACCACUGUUGAGCUCCGACCAGCGUGGAAAUCAGCUUCUGCCUGCGUGGAGGGGCGGCGCCGCCAUUUUCUAACCCAGCCGUGGAAUACAGAGCGGCUCCGACCGCCGACACAAAACACUCAUUCAGUCUGAUUCAGAACAAACUGUGAAGACCUGAGCUGAUUUGUAAGUCUGAAUGAGUGUCUGAGGGUUUGGACCGAACGUAAGAACGUCCUAAAGGAAAAUAUAUUCCGCUCACUCCACUUUAAAACUUCAGUGUGUGUUCGGCCCUGAGAAAGCGUUCACACCCGCUGUUAAGAUAUGAUCUGGAUCCUGGCAAACUGAACAAACGUUCGGACUCAGGCGACGGACGACCACGACUGUUGUUCCAUCAGCCAGGAGCACUAUCGACCCAGGAGGCAUCCAUCACCACCUUGUUGACGAGCCCACAGAGGUUAAACAGCUGGGACUCCCUGAAGCCUCCUGGAUGAGAGACGACGUGUCUUCAGGUCAACGUUUGGGGACAUUUUGUUUGAAGACUCAACACGUCGAGGUGCUGAAGGUGGAUUCUUGAUUGGACGAGGCCCGGUCUACGAACUCCAGGCGGUGUUUCCUGAGGGGACGACAUGUGACGGCGUGGAGUUUUUGCCUGUAAAGAGCUGAGGGGAAGUCCACAUGAAGGGUUCAGAGUCUUUCUGGGAAACCUUCAUGUGACUGAGAGGAUGACAGAUUCUGGUUUAACCACUUCUUCAUGCUGGAUUUGGUGUUUCUAAGCAGAGGUGAUGGAAAGUACAGAAGAAGUUCAGCCUCUGACGUAUAAAAUCAUUAUAAUGAAAGUAUAACUCUGGGGAUUUUACUCUCUGUAUUUUACUUAUUGUCCUCAGAUCUCAUGUUUAGACUCAAACCAGCAGUGAAAGAAUCGCCUAACGAGUCCUGAUGUCUCCUCUUCCUCUGAAGCAGAGACACCAUUAAACCAGUGAGCCUCACUGCUGCACUGGGUCACAUGAUCCUUCAUCACCAAGAACACUCUGUAGUUUAUUCUGGCUCAGUCCCACAGACCCCGUCCUGCUGCCCAAAAUACUCACCAGAGCGCCACCAUGAGGUUUGAUGUUAAGUCAACAUGUUCUCAGCUGAACGACCAGGUACCUUCAGGGUCCAUACGAGACACCCUGGACUUAAAGCUAACUCCCCUGUAUCAUCAACUAUCUGAAACCAAAAGCUAAAGUUAUUUUAUAUUUCAACCAAGACCAUGAUCUUUCCUAAACCAAAC